rnacentral:rRNA from 1 species
UACGGGGGGGGCAAGCGUUGUUCGGAAUUACUGGGCGUAAAGGGCUCGUAGGUGGUCAACUAAGUCAGACGUGAAAUCCCUCGGCUUAACCGGGGAACUGCGUCUGAUACUGGAUGGCUUGAGUUCGGGAGAGGGAUGCGGAAUUCCAGGUGUAGCGGUGAAAUGCGUAGAUAUCUGGAGGAACACCGGUGGCGAAGGCGGCAUCCUGGACCGACACUGACACUGAGGAGCGAAAGCCAGGGGAGCAAACGGG